UGCCCUAGUAACGGCGAGUGAAGCGGCAACAGCUCAAAUUUGAAAUCUGGCUCUUUCAGAGUCCGAGUUGUAAUUUGCAGAGGGCGCUUUGGCGUUGGCAGCGGUCCAAGUUCUUUGGAACAGGACGUCACAGAGGGUGAGAAUCCCGUACGUGGUCGCUAGACUUCGCCGUGUAAAGCCCCUUCGACGAGUCGAGUUGUUUGGGAAUGCAGCUCUAAAUGGGAGGUAAAUUUCUUCUAAAGCUAAAUACUGGCCAGAGACCGAUAGCGCACAAGUAGAGUGAUCGAAAGAUGAAAAGCACUUUGGAAAGAGAGUCAAAUAGCACGUGAAAUUGUUGAAAGGGAAGCGCUUGCAGCCAGACUUGCCUGUAGUUGCUUAUCCAGACUUUUGUCUGGUGCACUCUUCUAUAGGCAGGCCAGCAUCAGUUUGGGCGGUUGGAUAAAGGUCUCUAUCACGUACCUCUCUUCGGGGAGGCCUUAUAGGGGAGACGACAUACAACCAGCCUGGACUGAGGUCCGCGCAUCUGCUAGGAUGCUGGCGUAAUGGCUGUAAGCGGCCCGUCUUGAAACACGGACCAAGGAGUCUAACAUCUAUGCGAGUGUUUGGGUGUCAAGCCCAUACGCGUAAUGAAAGUGAACGGAGGUGGGAACCUUUUAGGUGCACCAUCGACCGAUCCUGAUGUCUUCGGAUGGAUUUGAGUAAGAGCAUGGCUGUUGGGACCCGAAAGAUGGUGAACUAUGCUUGAAUAGGGUGAAGCCAGAGGAAACUCUGGUGGAGGCUCGCAGCGGUUCUGACGUGCAAAUCGAUCGUCAAAUUUGGGCAUAGGGGCGAAAGACUAAUCGA
rnacentral:rRNA from 1 species